rnacentral:rRNA from 1 species
UGGGGAAUAUUGCACAAUGGGCGCAAGCCUGAUGCAGCCAUGCCGCGUGUAUGAAGAAGGCCUUCGGGUUGUAAAGUACUUUCAGUCGGGAGGAAGGUGGUAAGGUUAAUAACCUUGUCGAUUGACGUUACCCGCAGAAGAAGCACCGGCUAACUCCGUGCCAGCAGCCGCGGUAAUACGGAGGGUGCAAGCGUUAAUCGGAAUUACUGGGCGUAAAGCGCACGCAGGCGGUCUGUCAAGUCGGAUGUGAAAUCCCCGGGCUCAACCUGGGAACUGCAUUCGAAACUGGCAGGCUAGAGUCUUGUAGAGGGGGGUAGAAUUCCAGGUGUAGCGGUGAAAUGCGUAGAGAUCUGGAGGAAUACCGGUGGCGAAGGCGGCCCCCUGGACGAAGACUGACGCUCAGGUGCGAAAGCGUGGGGAGCAAACAGG